GGGACGCGGGGCCGGCCGCAGAGCUCCUCGGGGACGCGGGGCCGGCCGCAGAGCUCUUCGGGGAUGCGGGGCCGCGCUGCUCUCAGGGUGGUCCCGUCCCGUGGCGGGGAAGGCGCCGCAGGUGCGCGAACCUGAGGAAGCCCGAGGGGCCAGAAGCCCGUCGGACUUGCCUCGGCUUUAAUUCUGCCCGCGCCGUGGAGGGAACUGCGCCCCGUUUUAAAAGCUCUCUGUCCAUCUGGCACUGAGCAAAGUGAAGCAUCAUCAGGUGCAAACACCCUGACUGCAGAUGACCAUGAAACUGAGAAAACACAGCUGGACCCAGCAGAGCAUGUGAGCCUUGCCUCUGAGGACACCAACCUUGGCCAGCAGCUGCCGGGAGAGGAGGGCUCAGCCACCAUCCUGGACGUGAUGGGGAAGACAGAGUCAGUCAGCAAAAGGGAGGAGCCAGAGGGCACGGAGCCCCUGCCUGCAGGAGAGGAGGAAAGCUCUGAGCUGCCCUCUGUGUGGCGAGAGGAGAGCAAGGGGCCUUUGCUGCCAGCACCAGGAGAAGAUGCUGGGGCACCAUCACCAGGACCAGCAGAGGACAGUGGGCUGGUAGAGGGCAGUGACAGCUCUGUAGUGGAAAUUGUCGAGAAAGUACAUACUACUGAAGAGGACCACCUCAUUGAGGGUGAGACGGGAGAACAGGUGGAAACUGAGCUGCUCAGUGAGACAGUAAGUGAAGGGCCUGAAACAAAAGAAGAAGAAACAGGAGAAGCUGUGGAUAGUGCAGCAGCGUCAGAGAUAGAGGCAGCUAAUAACAAGGAAUAG
rnacentral:lncRNA from 1 species